rnacentral:rRNA from 1 species
AUUGAACGCUGGCAGCAGGCUUAACACAUGCAAGUCGAGCGGGGAAAGGUAGCUUGCUACCUGACCUAGCGGCGGACGGGUGAGUAAUGCUUAGGAAUCUGCCUAUUAGUGGGGGACAACAUCUCGAAAGGGAUGCUAAUACCGCAUACGUCCUACGGGAGAAAGCAGGGGACCUUCGGGCCUUGCGCUAAUAGAUGAGCCUAAGUCGGAUUAGCUAGUUGGUGGGGUAAAGGCCUACCAAGGCGACGAUCUGUAGCGGGUCUGAGAGGAUGAUCCGCCACACUGGGACUGAGACACGGCCCAGACUCCUACGGGAGGCAGCAGUGGGGAAUAUUGGACAAUGGGGGGAACCCUGAUCCAGCCAUGCCGCGUGUGUGAAGAAGGCCUUUUGGUUGUAAAGCACUUUAAGCGAGGAGGAGGCUACCGAGAUUAAUACUCUUGGAUAGUGGACGUUACUCGCAGAAUAAGCACCGGCUAACUCUGUG